rnacentral:rRNA from 1 species
UACGUAGGGAUGGAGAGUUGAGCGGAAUUACUGGGCGUAAAGCGUGCGAAGGCGGCUCUUCAAGUCAGGUGUGAGAGCCCCGGGCUUAACCUGGGAAUGGCGUUUGAAACUGGAGGGCUGGAGUGUGGCAGAGGGAGGUGGAUUUCCACGUGUAGCAGUGAAAUGCGUAGAGAUGUGGAGGAACACCGAUGGCGAAGGUAGUCUCCCGGGCCAACAACGACGCUCAUCAACGCAAGCGUGGGGAGCAAACAGG